CGAGGAGAGGCGAAACCAGAGGGAAGACGACUUCCCUCCGGAGGGUAGACGGGCCUGCUGGGAUACUCCCGGAUGACUGCGAGAGGCAGUGGGCGGGCUCCGCCGUUCCGCGGCACGCCGGGAAGAGGUCACUUCCAAGGGAAGGUUCCGGUUCCGGUGUAGGCGGUGGUUGAGUUGCCGUGGCAACGCGGUAACCCGGCUCCCGGUUUCCGCGUUAGGGGCGGCGGCGGGGCUGGAGCCGGCCUGUGCCCUCCUUUCCCAGCCUGGGUGAGCGACGCCGGUACCUCCGUGCGGCCGCGGCGGAAAGCCGCCGUUCGUGGUGGGAGCGGGGCCGGGGCCGGGCGCUGGGGGCCGGGGCGCCCGCGUCGAAGCGGGCGGCCACGUGUCCCGGCUGUGCCUUGGCCGCGCUGCCCGCGUGGGAGCCGAGGCCCGGCCCCGGCCCGGCGGCGCCCGCCUCCGGCGUUCAAUUAUAUCUCGAAAAUAACUUUUAAAAUUGUGUAACGUGCUCUCGUGUGCAUAUCCCUUCCGGGUUUGGGGCUUCGUGGACUUCGCAGCCCGCCUCAGUCCUUUGUUGCCCAGGGAGCCACGAGGGAAUUGGUUCCCUGGACAAACGUUUUCUGAGCGGGUGCUGCGUGCUAGGCACGGUGCCUGCGCGGGAUGCCCGGACUUGGUGCCCAGAGCUCGUCAGCGGGAGAAGUGAGAAGCAGCUUCAUGGAUUCCAGGUAAAUCAGAGGAGCAAGCAUCAUGAACAGAAGUAUGUACAGGAAAUGCCGUGUUGCUGAAACCUAAGUGAUGUUGCAGAAGUCCAGGACCUGGUGUGCUUACCAGUUGGGAAUGUAUUAUUUCCCAAAUCACCUAAUUUUUCCUCAUGCUUAUAGGAGAAAAAUUCGCAGACUUCUCUUCUGAGGAUCCAGGGACACAGAACAGUAACGCGAGGUGACACAUCUCUUACCUGGUAUGUAGCAUUGGCUUGGAAGCUUAGAUGUCUUUCUUACUGUCAGACGUUUUAUUGAGAACACAGCUGUCAUCAUAAGAUUACAAGUAAACCCUGAGCAGGAAGAAUACCCGGCCUGCGUUCUGGGAACUUACAAUGGCAAGUUCCCGAUGGUAGGAACCACGGAGUUUGCUUUUGCCGGAUUUCCACAACUCACAGCCCAGUCCUGGGCAACCGCCGCACACACAUAAACAUCCCGGGAGCGUGCGCAUCACUGUAAGCAGCAGGAACCCACCUGGUGGUGCAGCAUUACGGACGGGUACUACAACCAACAGCUGAAACACCCAGUGGGAAGACUUCUAUUGACCCCCCAAACCCGUACUGAAUGUUGACCACUGCUCUACUCACAAUAGCCCCAAACCGGAGACAACCCAUUUGCCCUUCGGCAAGUGAGCGGCUAGACAAACAGUGGUCCGUCCGUGCCAUGCAAUGGAGGGGUACGAACUCUUGGUACAGAAACACUCCGGAAGAAUUGCCAGUGAAUUCUGCUGAGUGAAAGUAGCCAAGCGCCAAAGGUUACACACCGUAUGAUUCCAUUAACGUGCUAUUCUUGAAAUGGCAAAAUUAUAGAAAUGCGAAUGGAUUAAUGGUUGCCAGGGGUGAGAGAGGGGAUAAGAGUGGGGGAAACACCUGCAUUCUGAUGGUGUCAGCCUCAACAUCCUGGUUGUGAUUCUGUGCUACGUAGGUAAUGUCUUUUUUUGCAAGACAUUACCAUUGGGGGAAACUGGGGAAAAGGUACAGGGAUCAUUCAGCCUAGUUUAUUACAACUGCAUAAUCUACAGUUAUCUCCAAAUCAAAGGUUUAAUUAAAAAAAAACACUUAUGGGGUGCCUGGGUGGCUCAGUCAGUUGAGCGCCCGACUUCAGCUCAGGUCAUGAUCUCGCGGUUCGUGAGUUCAAGCCCCGCGUCAGGCUCUGUGCUGACAGCUCAGAGCCCGGAGCCUGCUUCAGAUUCUGUGUCUCCCUCUCUCUGCCCCUUUCCCACUCAUGCUCUGUCUCUCUCUGUCUCUCAGAAAAUGAAUAAAUGUUAAAAAAAAUUUUUUUUUUAAAAACCGCUUAUGGUGUUCCCAGAAGAAGCAGAAAGACUAGAUAGGGUUGCCCAUGGAUGGGAGAAAUAUAUAGCAAGCCUCUUCUAGAAAGAUUUUAUUUUUUAGGAGUGAAGUUUGUCGAUUGUACUUGACAUUUUGUCUCUGUUAGUACUUAAUCCUUGGAAUAUAUUAACAGUCGUAAUACGAUUAAAAUUCACACAGUUUUUUA